rnacentral:rRNA from 1 species
UACAGAGGUCCCGAGCGUUGUUCGGAUUCAUUGGGCGUAAAGGGUGCGUAGGCGGCGGAGCAAGUCUGAUGUGAAAUCCCGGGGCUCAACCCCCGGAACUGCAUUGGAUACUGCUUUGCUAGAGUACUGGAGAGGGAACUGGAAUUUACGGUGUAGCAGUGAAAUGCGUAGAGAUCGUAAGGAAGGCCAGUGGCGAAGGCGAGUUCCUGGACAGUUACUGACGCUGAGGCACGAAGGCCAGGGGAGCAAACGGG